AUUGAACGCUAGCGGCAUGCCUUACACAUGCAAGUCGAACGGCAGCACGGGUGCUUGCACCUGGUGGCGAGUGGCGAACGGGUGAGUAAUACAUCGGAACAUGUCCUGUAGUGGGGGAUAGCCCGGCGAAAGCCGGAUUAAUACCGCAUACGAUCUACGGAUGAAAGCGGGGGACCUUCGGGCCUCGCGCUAUAGGGUUGGCCGAUGGCUGAUUAGCUAGUUGGUGGGGUAAAGGCCUACCAAGGCGACGAUCAGUAGCUGGUCUGAGAGGACGACCAGCCACACUGGGACUGAGACACGGCCCAGACUCCUACGGGAGGCAGCAGUGGGGAAUUUUGGACAAUGGGCGAAAGCCUGAUCCAGCAAUGCCGCGUGUGUGAAGAAGGCCUUCGGGUUGUAAAGCACUUUUGUCCGGAAAGAAAUCCUUGGCUCUAAUACAGUCGGGGGAUGACGGUACCGGAAGAAUAAGCACCGGCUAACUACGUG
rnacentral:rRNA from 1 species